UGGAUACUAUAUUGGAAUUUGAAUUAAACAUCUUUUAUGUUUUGUUAGUUUUCUAGAAUGAUGAAGAUUUUGAAAAAAAAGAAAAGAGCAUAGAUGGAGGUGAGAGAUAAUGUUUCUAAAAUGAUAAAAUCUUACGCUCUACAUGACAAGUGUUGCAGGGGAGAGUAUAUAUAAUCACAUGAUUCAAUGCAUCACAUUUAGAGUCACCAAAGUGAACAUGACGCUUGGCAUUACAUGAACUUUAGAUCCUUAUAUCUUGGAGGUAUAAUCCAAGCCAUACAUGUGUCAUGUUGACUAUUCUCAAAUAAACAAAAUGAAUAAUUAGAUAGGCAGCAAACCUAGUACCUAUUAACUUAGAGUCCAAGUUACCAGUAAACCAAUUUACAUUCUGUUUGGGCAAGAAUUUCCCUGGAGAAAGCGCCUGGCUCGAACACACAGCUCCUCGAGAGUUGCCACUUAGGUUGGUUUUCGGGCUUCUAAUUGUUGAGGGGCUGCAAGAGGAGGAUAAAGUUAGUUCUAAAAUGUGCCUUUGUAUGGCCUUAGGUAUAGGCCUUGAGGCUCACAAUCAAAACUAACUAAAUGCUUAAGCGUGCCACUGCCAUCUUAGUAUGGCAGAUGUAGAACAAGUGUGUUUUAUUCGAUUACUUGCACCCCAAGUUAUUUUGAUUUCCUGCUAUCAAAGGAUUGUCGUAGAUGGGUUAAGUCUACAUUAAGUUCUUUUUUGUGCCUUGAGAUCAAGGACUUUUAUUAUCUUGCAUGCUUUAAAGGUUAGAAGUCAAGAUUUGACUAAGCCAUCAGUCUAGUUCCCGUUCAAUCUUUUAUAGCAGUAAAACUACUAAAUGAACCAAAUCUGAGUGCCAAUGGAACCUUUGAUCAUCAAAUGACUGGAAAUGACUUGAAUAUAUACUAGAGAGUAUCAUAAUACCAGAUAUAGUAAUUGAAAGAUAAAACAAAGAGAGUCAUGCAAGAUUUCAACUUGUCGAGUAAGGGUGAACGUCUUACAGUUUAUUCUCUUUGUGAUUAUAAAGGUUUGUAUGUUAAAAGGGAUAAGUGGUAAACAAGUUUACAUGAUAGAAUUGAUACUACAGCUUUUGGAGAAGGUAGCAGAGCUUUUACACCAGACAAAAAAUGACUUUGUAAGGGAACUAUUGCUAAAAACGAUUUGGAAGGUACAAACUGGCUUGAGAGCAAAGUUUGUAGGCUUGUUUGUUUGAUUGGUUA
rnacentral:lncRNA from 1 species